UACAUAGGGUGCAAGCGUUAAUCGGAAUUACUGGGCGUAAAGCGUGCGCAGGCGGUUUUGUAAGUCAGAUGUGAAAUCCCCGGGCUUAACCUGGGAACUGCGUUUGAAACUACAAGGCUAGAGUGUGGCAGAGGGGGGUGGAAUUCCACGUGUAGCAGUGAAAUGCGUAGAGAUGUGGAGGAACACCGAUGGCGAAGGCAGCCCCCUGGGUUAACACUGACGCUCAGGCACGAAAGCGUGGGGAUCAAACAGG
rnacentral:rRNA from 1 species